CACGGGGAGGUAGUGACGAAAAAUAACGAUACGGGACUCAUCCGAGGCCCCGUAAUCGGAAUGAGUGUACUCUAAAUCCUUUUACAAGGACCAAUUGGAGGGCAAGUCUGGUGCCAGCAGCCGCGGUAAUUCCAGCUCCAAUAGCGUAUAUUAAAGUUGUUGCGGUUAAAAAGCUCGUAGUCGAAUCUGUGUCCCGCGCCGCCGGUUCAUCGCUCGCGGUGUUUAACUGGCGUGUCUCGCGGGACGUCCUGCCGGUGGGUUUUUCGAAUUGAUUUUGCGGUCAUUUCGUUACCCAACUUGUAUCCGCUUUACGCGGAUGCGAAUCCUAUCGCGGUGCUCUUUAUUGAGUGUCGAGGUGGGCCGGCACGUUUACUUUGAACAAAUUAGAGUGCUUAAAGCAGGCCAAUUUUGCCUAAAUAUUGUGUGCAUGGAAUAAUAGAAUAGGACCUCGGUUCUAUUUUGUUGGUUUUCUGAACCCCGAGGUAAUGAUUAAUAGGAACGGAUGGGGGCAUUUGUAUUGCGACGUUAGAGGUGAAAUUCUUGGAUCGUCGCAAGACAAACUAAAGCGAAAGCAUUUGCCAAAAACGUUUUCAUUGAUCAAGAACGAAAGUUAGAGGUUCGAAGGCGAUCAGAUACCGCCCUAGUUCUAACCAUAAACGAUGCCAGCUAGCGAUCCGCCGACGUUCCUCCGAUGACUCGGCGGGCAGCUUCCGGGAAACCAAAGCUUUUGGGUUCCGGGGGAAGUAUGGUUGCAAAGCUGAAACUUAAAGGAAUUGACGGAAGGGCAUCACCAGGAGUGGAGCCUGCGGCUUAAUUUGACUCAACACGGGAAACCUUAUCAGGCCC
rnacentral:rRNA from 1 species